rnacentral:lncRNA from 1 species
UUUGUCUUAGUUUCUGGACAACAGUUUUAUAAGGGCUUAAAACUGGGUUCAUAGCAUUCCUUGCUUCUCUAUACUUGGGUAUUAUCAUGUGACCUACAUAGGGUCAUACCAGUGCUGUCUGUCCAGGGGUUUAAGAGGAUAUCUUCUUCUUUCACAUAUUUGAAAGCUGUAUUGUGCCAGUCAUUAUUUUGGAAUUGAGAGGAAUAAGAAUGAGGGAAAACUGACUACAAAGACAUUGUUGAGCAUUUUCUCUACAGUUACUUCUUAAAUUCUAGAAAACUGCUGCCUUGACAAUUACAUUUAGCCAUGUGAUUUUUGCAUAAUCAUGAUGCUGUAACUGGAAACAAACAGGCUGAGUAACAGAACAAGUUAUGCCUGCUUCUCCUGGCAACAUUUUCAAAGGGACAUUACACUUUAAGGUAUUGACUGAAAAAGCCUGCAGGGGCUGGAAAGACUGAUCUCCUAAGCUUGGCUUUUAGCCUUACUCUCUUAG